rnacentral:rRNA from 1 species
UACCAGCACCCCGAGUGGUCGGGACGAUUAUUGGGCCUAAAGCAUCCGUAGCCGGUCUUACAAGUCCUCCGUUAAAUCCAGCUGCUUAACAGAUGGGCUGCGGAGGAUACUAUAAAACUAGGAGGCGGGAGAGGCAAGCGGUACUCGAUGGGUGAGGGGUAAAAUCCGUUGAUCCAUUGAAGACCACCAGUGGCGAAGGCGG